AUUAAUGCAAGCAGCUGCUCAAUUCGAGCCAAGAAAAGAGCUUGAUCAGAAGUGCAAAAUAAAGGCAAUCAACUGCAUUCAUCAGAACAUUUUAGGAUAUAUCCUCCUCACUAGGAUGCAUCCUCCCGUGUUGUGUGUGAACGGCUCCAUAGACUGCUCCAGCCUCAUCACGUGCAGUUUGGGGCGGAACGGGUUCAUGAUGAAGUGAAACUGAAAGCGACUGUGUCACGCGCCAUCUUCAGAGAACUCAAACUCAGAAAAUGUCGUCGUAUGUUACGGCCUGAAAUCAAGUUUCUCAUCAAGUGGGAAGAGGAGGAGAAACCUGCCUGAGAAAUGAGUGUGUAUGAGGAGAGAGAGGAUGAGACUACUGUUGACGCUCAGAGAGCAGCAUCUCCAGGAUUCAGCUGUGUGUCUAUGAAGAGUAACAACUCCAUGCAUCUGCCCCCUUUUCUCAGUGGUGUUGACACUCAGAGAGCAGCAUCUCCAGGAUUCAGCUGUGUGUCUGUGAAGAGUAACAACUCCAUGCAUCUGCCCCCUUUUCUCAGUGAUGUUCACACUCAGAGAGCAGCAUCUCCAGGAUUCAGCUGUGUGUCUGUGAAGAGUAACAACUCCAUGCAUCUGCCCCCUGAACUCAGUGAUGUUGACGCUCAGAGAGCAGCAUCUUCAGGAUUCAGCUGUGUGUCUAUGAAGAGUAACAACUCCAUGCAUCUGCCCCCUUUUCUCAGUGGUGUUGACACUCAGAGAGCAGCAUCUCCAGGAUUCAGCUGUGUGUCUGUGAAGAGUAACAACUCCAUGCAUCUGCCCCCUUUUCUCAGUGAUGUUCACACUCAGAGAGCAGCAUCUCCAGGAUUCAGCUGUGUGUCUGUGAAGAGUAACAACUCCAUGCAUCUGCCCCCUGAACUCAGUGAUGUUGACGCUCAGAGAGCAGCAUCUUCAGGAUUCAGCUGUGUGUCUAUGAAGAGUAACAACUCCAUGCAUCUGCCCCCUUUUCUCAGUGAUGUUGACACUCAAAGAACAGCAUCUCCAGGAUUCAGCUGUGUGUCUAUGAAGAGUAACAACUCCAUGGCUAUUCCCCCUUUUCUCAGUGAUGGAUCUGCUGUGAACUCUGGACCUGGCAGGAAGAGAAAGAAAGCAGCAUCUCCAGUAUCCAACUGUGUGUCCAUGAAGAGAAAUAGAAUGAUCCACACAUCAGAAUCCCUGAAUGAUCCACACAUGUUCAGGACUGGAGCAGUGCGCUUUGACCCUGUUGGUAAAAAAGCUGUUUCCUCACCGACCGGCACAUCCCCCUACUGUCAGAACAACUUCAGUCAUCAUGACACAGUAGCAAACCUGCAGCUCAAUUUAGACCAACCAAUGCAUGUUGAUCUGCAGAGAAUCAAAGACCAGCACAAAACCAGCAUGAAGAACAAGUCACAGUGAGAUUCUGAAAAUGUUCCUGACAGGAAAGUCCAGAACUCAUUGUGAGGAUGUUCCUCUGGAUGUGUUUCUGAAGGGAGCAACGAAUAAAGCAUUGAGCAGUAAAAAUGGACAUCUGGAUCUUUUCCUUCGAUUUCUUCAUGGCAUCUCACUGGAGUCCAAUCAGAGACUCUUACAGGAUGCACUGAUACACACAGAGAACAACCCAGAGAGCAUCAAGAACAUAAUCAACAACCUCAAACGAGGUCAAAAAAACAAUGUUUGUCCUGAAAGAUGGAUGAAUCUGUCACACUGCUUGAUUGAGAUGAAGGAUAACUCUGUAGUUGAAAGAGUGCAGGUGCUUUUAAAAUCUAAAGCAAAAAGUAAAAGUCUUUCUCUUGCACAAUGCUCAACUUUGGCAAACAUGAUCAUGAUGUCGGAGGAGGUGCUGGAUGAGUUAGACCUUAAAAAGUAUAAUAUCAAAUCAAAAGAGGGUCGAUGGAGACUGUUCCCUGCUGUGAGAAACUGCAGAAAAGCUCUGUGAGUAUGCGAAAAUGAACAUAUUUACAUUUGACUUUUUUUUGGGGGGG
rnacentral:lncRNA from 1 species